rnacentral:lncRNA from 1 species
GUUUGUUCCCCUGAGUUUACCGGAGGACGUUCGCGGCGAUUUCCAGCAACUAGCAAAGGAAUACGCGGAGGCCGGCAGUGCCAAGGUUCGGCUCGGCAUUGUAGAUUUGGCCAUCUCUGCCGCUCUAUGACAAACACAGCUAUGACUCUUUGUCAGCCUGGCUACAGUGCUGAAAAGAACCUGGGGUUGUUUUUGUUUUCCUCAAUUAGGGAGGAAUAAUAUGUUUUUCCAGCAGCACAAAGUGCUUUUUUAUAUUUCAUUAGACUGUCCUUCCAUGCAAUGCAGUUUACAUUUUUUUGUUGGAACGCCACUGUCUUUCUAGUUGUCUGAUCCUGUGCUUUAGGCUGCGGAUCUCUGAGUUAUACCACGGAGCUAUCCUCCUCUGAUUCACUGUUCUUCUUCAGAGGAGCCACUGUGUCUAACAUUGUACGUAGAAAAGCUGCAGCAUCAUCUACAAGACAGUCAACCUGUUCAUAAGUGUGAGGGACUGCGCAGUAAGUCUUAGGAACCCAGGAAUGAAUUCAACAAAAAAUAUAAUUUCUUAACAAAUACUCAAGAUUCACAAUACUACAACUCCAGGUCACAAAAUUCAACCUAAAUAACAGUUCUAAAUGGGCCCUUUAACUAAAUUGAGGUCAACUAAACAGACAGCAAUACACUUAAACCAAACAUAACUGACCUCCAUGUCACACAAACCAGGGGUUUAUAAAGACACAGGCUAGCUACAGCUCAAAGAAGGUAACAGAAAUAAACCGCCAAUCAACCUCAACCACUAAACUAAAUACAAAUACAAGAUUAAACACGAAUAAUAUUUACACAAUAAACAACGUAACAGAAAUAAACCGCCAAUCAACCUCAACCACUAAACUAAAUACAAAUACAAGAUUAAACACGAAUAAUAUUUACACAAUAAACAACAUAACAACUUAAGUAACUCCCAUUAAGCAAAUCCCCAACAUAAGCCUAAUAAUGAAAUCAUAAGCGGCGGAUUCCCCCCUCCAGGCACGCGCAGUUGG